AACAACGACAAGAAAAACGUCUCAGCGCAGCCUCCGGCCCACACCAAACACACAGACACACACACGCACACAUACACACACUCUCCUCCCGACUCUCUCGCACUGCCACCCUCGCCCUUACACCAGCCCUCCCAACUCGUAAGGAGACAGGAUGCUCCGUCGCACCGUGUCCUGGGCCUUCGCGGCCUUCAAGUGCCCACCUGUGCUGAAUGAGCCCAUGGACAACUUCGAGCCGGGCUCCGCCUCUGCGAAGGGGACGCUGGAGGCCUGCAAGGCGGCUCGCGGGGAGGUGCGGGAGUGCCCAAUCAUGAUUGGCGGCAAGCCGUACACCUCCUCGAACAUCAUCAAGGGCAUUAUGCCCUCGGAUCACCAAGUGCAGAUUGCCAAGGCCUACAACGCAACGCCGGAGCUCGCGAGGAAGGCUGUGGAGGCGGCUGUGGAGGCCUCCAAGGAGUGGAGCCAGGUGCCCUUCCGCGAUCGUGCGGCCAUCUUCUACAAGGCGGCACACCUCCUGUCAACCAAAUACCGCCACGAGAUGCGCGCCGUGACGAUGCUGGGCCAGAGCAAGAAUCCGUGGCAGGCGGAGAUCGACUGCGUCGCCGAGGCCUGUGACUUCAUCCGCUGGAACAUCCACUUUGCUGAGGAGCUGUACGCACAGCAGCCGCGCUCCGUCUCGAACAGCGGCGUGUGGAACACGACGGACUACCGUCCGCUCGAGGGGUUUGUGUCGGCCAUCACGCCCUUCAACUUCACGGCCAUCGCCGCGAACCUCGCUGGCACGCCGGCGCUGAUGGGCAACACGGUGGUCUGGAAGCCGAGCCCGACGGCGGUGCUCUCGAACUACCUCAUGUACAAGAUUAUGGAGGAGGCGGGGCUGCCGGCUGGCGUCAUCAACUUUGUGCCGUGCGAGCCAGCGGUGAUGGACAGCGCCGUGAAUGCCGACCCGCGCCUCGCCGCCGUCGUCUUCACCGGCUCGACCCGCGUCUUUACCGAAAUCAACAAGAACGUCUUCAGCCGCCUCGAGACGUACCACAACUUUCCGCGCAUCUCCGGCGAGACGGGCGGCAAGGACUUCCACCUCGUCCACCCCUCUGCCGACAUGAAGCACGUGGCAGCCGGCACCGUCCGUGGCGCUUUCGAGUUCCAAGGGCAGAAAUGCAGCGCGUGCUCGCGGCUGUACGCGCCAAAGACCUGCUGGAAGGAGUUGAAGGCAUUGCUCAUCAAGGGCCAGAAGCAGAUCAAGAUGGGCCAGCCGGACGACUUCCAGAGCUUCAUGUGCGCCGUCAUCGACGAGACGUCCUUCAACAAGAAUAAGAAGUACAUCGAAAUCGCCAAGGCGGACUCGAGCAACUACGAGGUCGUUGUGGGAGGCAAGUGCGACAAGACGAGGGGGUACUUCGUUGAGCCGACCAUCAUUGAGACGAAGGACCCCCGCGCGCAGCUCAUGCGCGAGGAGAUAUUUGGCCCUGUGCUGACGGUGUUUGUGUAUGACGACAGUAAGCCGGGGUACUGGAAAGAAGUGUGCGAGCUCGUCGACUCGACCACGAAGUACGGCCUGACCGGUGCCGUCUUCUCUCGCGAGCGUGCGCCGAUCAGGGAGGCGGACAAGUACCUGCGCUACGCGGCGGGCAACUACUAUGUGAACGACAAGUGCACCGGCGCUGUCGUUGGCCAGCAGCCGUUCGGCGGCUCGCGCCUGAGCGGCUCGAAUGACAAGCCGGGUGCCGGCCAGUUCGUCACCCGCUUCGUCUCGGCCCGCUCCAUCAAGGAGAGCUUCGACGUGACGCCCACCAUCUCGUACCCGCACCAGCUGCCCGAUGUGUACACGCUGUAGUGAGGCAGCGGCAACCAGGCUGGCCAUAAAAGUGGGCGCUACGGCCUGGAUGUGCAUUCGAAUUCCGAGGUGUCGAGAGAAACGAAGGAGAGCGACCGACAGACACGUACUUUGGAGGGGGAAGCACAGGCUCUUCACCAGCUUCUAGCAUGCCAUGCGCGUCAUGGACGUUGUCGUAGCUUCCCACGCCGAUCAUCGAUCCCGAAGCCCUGACGAGGUGCGCGUGUGAGCGCGCGUGCCUCGACGACGCGGCGAGACGAAGAGGGCGUUUAAGAGACGCACCACACGCCGACCAAUAUGUGGAGAACGGAAAGGAAAACGAUCGGACUUAACUUUAUUUUUGAAUUCCGCACGCGCACGUACACGCACACAGGCGAUCCGCCACCUUCCCUAACCUCGCUGCCAAGGCUCAUCCUCUCCAUCUCGCGCUCGCGCACGGCCCCGCUUCGUUCAUUCAUCCUUCUCUGUGUCUGUGCCGACAGUUUGUCGGUGUUUUCGUGUGCGUCCGCGCCUGAGUCGUUGCCCCCCACCCCCCACCCCCACCCCACCAACAUACACGCACACGCACACACACGCUUGAUCCUGAGGGCCUCUUCCUAUGUAUGCAAGUGCCCAGCGUUUUCCUGUGUCGGAUAUGCUGUGUGUGCGCUUUCUCUGUCGCAUCCCUGCCUCUGUCUCGGCGUGCAUGCGUGCGCGUUCAGGUGUGAGCUUGAUGGCGCGUCCCACACACGCGCCACCACGUUUCCGCCUCGCUCGCUCUCCGCCCUCUGCGCUUUCAUGUUCUUUCCCCUUGUGUGUGUGUGUGUGUGUGUGUCGGGGGAGGGGGGGGCCUGCGUGAUGGACGGCGGCGGGUGACGGUCAUGGCGAUGGUCGCAGAGGGGAGCCGCCGGCGGAGGCGUGUUGCUCUUUCCUUCGCGAGGAGGCGCAGAGCGGACUGUGAUGAGGGUACGUUGAGGGGCUGCCGCGGCGUGGUACGAGGAGGGAUGGUGAAGGGCACAGCACAGUCGUGUGUAGGGGAAGGGCCGAGAGGCGAGCCGGAGUGUCUGUCUCUCCCGUCCUUUAUCCGUGUUCUGUGUGUUGUUUAAUUCGUCGCAUGAUGCCGGAAGACGUUG
rnacentral:misc_RNA from 1 species